CCUACGGGUGGCUGCAGUGAGGAAUAUUGGUCAAUGGACGAGAGUCUGAACCAGCCAAGUCGCGUGAAGGAUGACUGCCCUAUGGGUUGUAAACUUCUUUUAUAUGGGAAUAAAAUGUUCCACGUGUGGGAUUUUGUAUGUACCAUAUGAAUAAAGAACGGCUAACUCCGUGCCAGCAGCCGCGGUAAUACGGAGGAUCCGAGCGUUAUCCGGAGUUAUUGGGUUUAAAGGGAGCGUAGGUGGAUUGUUAAGUCAGUUGUGAAAGUUUGCGGCUCAACCGUAAAAUUGCAGUUGAAACUGGCAGUCUUGAGUACAGUAGAGGUGGGCGGAAUUCGUGGUGUAGCGGUGAAAUGCUUAGAUAUCACGAAGAACUCCGAUUGCGAAGGCAGUUCACUGGACUGCAACUGACACUGAGGCUCGAAAGUGUGGGUAUCAAACAGGAUUAGAUACCCCAGUAGUC
rnacentral:rRNA from 1 species